ensembl:lncRNA
CAGCUGGUAGCGGCCAGUAAGGAGGCUAGUGCCAAGAUUCAGGAGCGAAAGGUUGAGGCCUGGAAUAGGGCCGAACCCCGAAGGCGGUUUUGAGGUAGAAAUUACGGGCCUUGCUUUGGGGUUGGGGCGUGGGGGUGGCGCUGGGUCUUGGCGCCUCGGUUGGGUGCGUGUUCUCCUACGCGCCACUAGGUGGGGCUGUCAUGGAAAGGAGGCCCCGUCCCUGCUCUCAGGAGACUUACAUUCCGCCAGGAGAAAGGUAGCGUAGCCCGCGAGGGCUGCAGUGCCCGUGCACGCAGGAACUCCCAAGAUAAAUGCACGUGGUGGUAAGUGCUCCGAAGAGAUUACACAGGGCGGGGGGGCGGGGGAGUGGCCUGGGAGACGUGGGAGCCACGACCUCAGUGCUAAGCAGGAGCCCGCCAUGCAGUAUUGCCGCCCUUGCUUCCCCUCAAAAGGUGGCAAACGCCUGCACCCCCUGCACCAAACUAGCCAGCGAGGCGCGCUUGGCCUCCCUUCGAGAAGGGAAGCAGCGGUCGGGCCGGGGCGGAGGAGGGCCGGGCGCCAGAAGGGCCUUUGGGCUUGUACCGUGCAGGUGCCUGGGAGAUAAUGAAGCGGCGCUGACCCGGGCUGUGGAGGCCAGAGAGGCCUGCCACGGCGUCUGGAAGAACAUGGCACUUAGAAGAGGGCACAGGAGGACAAGCCAGCCACCACGGCGCGAGAAGAAGCCGCCGGAAAGGAUACGCGAGUUAAUUUUUCUGCCUCUGAAAUAACAGAUGAAGCUGGGAGAGGUUGGCUGUCUCCACGUUCAAGUCACUGGGAGGACGUGCGUCAGUCUCCACAUGGGCCAAAGGAGCCUCUGGAAGGAAGGCAGUUAAGACCCCCUCGUUCACCUCUGAGGUUCAAAGCUGCAAGAAGGCCUCUGAUGGGAGGGAGCACUUGACCAGAGACUCCUCAUC